rnacentral:lncRNA from 1 species
CAGGAGACAGACAUGAUCAUAGGAAACUUCCUCAGAUCUUCCAAGACUAGGUUUGCUUUGUCCCUGAAUAUGCUUCCAGAGUACCCUCUGCUGACCCUGAGUACUGGUCUAUAGCACCAAAUGGAAGACUGUCUGUCGAUACACAUUUUGUGACAGGCUCAGUUUUGUAUAACUAUUGUCAAUCUCCAUAACCCUAGCACAUAGGAAGUCUCUGGCACAUAUCAGAUGCUCAAUAUCGGUUGAGUGAAUGUAUUAAUCAUCUCCUUUAAAACCAGAGUCAGUGGAUUGAAGGGAUUGACUUCAGUAGGCAGCAAUUCAGUCCAACAAAUAAGGAUCUAUUACUGAGCAUCAACUAUGGUGAAACUGUGCUUGGUGGAAGUUCAAGAAUGAAUAUAUCAAAAGUCACGUCCUGCAGGAAGUCACAACCAACAACGGAGAUAAACUGUUAAACUGAAAAUGAUCCUUGUAUGAAUUAAAGAUGCUGGUACACUUGA